rnacentral:rRNA from 1 species
AUUGAACGCUGGCGGCAGGCCUAACACAUGCAAGUAGAACGAGUGGCGGACGGGUGAGUAAUGUCUGGGAAACUGCCUGAUGGAGGGGGAUAACUACUGGAAACGGUAGCUAAUACCGCAUACCAUCGGAUGUGCCCAGAUGGGAUUAGCUAGGAGGUGGGGUAAAGGCUCACCUAGGCGACGAUCCCUAGCAGGUCUGAGAGGAUGACCAGCCCCACUGGAACUGAGACACGGCCCAGACUCCUACGGGAGGCAGCAGUGGGAAAUAUUGCACAAUGGGCGCAAGCCUGAUGCAGCCAUGCCGCGUGUAUGAAGAAGGCUUUCGGUUUGUAAAGUACUUUCAGCGGGGAGGCGUUACCCACCGAGGAAGCACCGGCUAACUCCGUGCCAGCAGCCGCGGUAAUAC